CGGACAGAUGGGAGCUUGCUCCCUGAUGUUAGCGGCGGACGGGUGAGUAACACGUGGGUAACCUGCCUGUAAGACUGGGAUAACUCCGGGAAACCGGGGCUAAUACCGGAUGGUUGUUUGAACCGCAUGGUUCAAACAUAAAAGGUGGCUUCGGCUACCACUUACAGAUGGACCCGCGGCGCAUUAGCUAGUUGGUGAGGUAAUGGCUCACCAAGGCAACGAUGCGUAGCCGACCUGAGAGGGUGAUCGGCCACACUGGGACUGAGACACGGCCCAGACUCCUACGGGAGGCAGCAGUAGGGAAUCUUCCGCAAUGGACGAAAGUCUGACGGAGCAACGCCGCGUGAGUGAUGAAGGUUUUCGGAUCGUAAAGCUCUGUUGUUAGGGAAGAACAAGUACCGUUCGAAUAGGGCGGUACCUUGACGGUACCUAACCAGAAAGCCACGGCUAACUACGUGCCAGCAGCCGCGGUAAUACGUAGGUGGCAAGCGUUGUCCGGAAUUAUUGGGCGUAAAGGGCUCGCAGGCGGUUUCUUAAGUCUGAUGUGAAAGCCCCCGGCUCAACCGGGGAGGGUCAUUGGAAACUGGGGAACUUGAGUGCAGAAGAGGAGAGUGGAAUUCCACGUGUAGCGGUGAAAUGCGUAGAGAUGUGGAGGAACACCAGUGGCGAAGGCGACUCUCUGGUCUGUAACUGACGCUGAGGAGCGAAAGCGUGGGGAGCGAACAGGAUUAGAUACCCUGGUAGUCCACGCCGUAAACGAUGAGUGCUAAGUGUUAGGGGGGUUUCCGCCCCUUAGUGCUGCAGCUAACGCAUU
rnacentral:rRNA from 1 species